rnacentral:rRNA from 2 species
GUGGGUAGUUUGACUGGGGCGGUCUCCUCCUAAAGAGUAACGGAGGAGCACGAAGGUUGGCUAAUCCUGGUCGGACAUCAGGAGGUUAGUGCAAUGGCAUAAGCCAGCUUGACUGCGAGCGUGACGGCGCGAGCAGGUGCGAAAGCAGGUCAUAGUGAUCCGGUGGUUCUGAAUGGAAGGGCCAUCGCUCAACGGAUAAAAGGUACUCCGGGGAUAACAGGCUGAUACCGCCCAAGAGUUCAUAUCGACGGCGGUGUUUGGCACCUCGAUGUCGGCUCAUCACAUCCUGGGGCUGAAGUAGGUCCCAAGGGUAUGGCUGUUCGCCAUUUAAAGUGGUACGCGAGCUGGGUUUAGAACGUCGUGAGACAGUUCGGUCCCUAUCUGCCGUGGGCGCUGGAGAACUGAGGGGGGCUGCUCCUAGUACGAGAGGACCGGAGUGGACGCAUCACUGGUGUUCGGGUUGUCAUGCCAAUGGCACUGCCCGGUAGCUAAAUGCGGAAGAGAUAAGUGCUGAAAGCAUCUAAGCACGAAACUUGCCCCGAGAUGAGUUCUCCCUGAGACUUAGAGUCUCCUGAAGGAACGUUGAAGACGACGACGUUGAUAGGCCGGGUGUGUAAGCG